UAAAGGUCCCUUGGAUAUUACUACUUGCUAAAUGAGAAGAACAAGGUACGCCAAAUACUAGCAUGAGUCUACUAGAGAAACCCUUCCAAUAAGCUUGGGUAUAUAAUGCAUAUCAACAUCAAGGGAGCCAUGAUACCAGUAUGGCUCUGGCACAGGCCACCUGUCAUCCAAUAUAAUAUUUCCCAUAUAACUAUCAUCGAGAUAUAACUGAAAAAGUACCUUUCCGAUGGUAAAUUAUUCACUGUGCUUAAAACUUUAACAAUCUUAUCCUUUGGUAGGAAAGGAGUUACUCUACUUCCAUCAUAAAAGUUCAUGCCAACAAAACUCCCAUCAAACUUAAUAAGAGGGCCUCCGAUCCCAGCCUAGUUGAUUUUACAUGUGGAAACCUUAAGAUCUUUGCAAUCAAGUUUGCAAUUGUUUUUACCAUGCUGAAUCACUUUACCAAUUGUGGCCAUCAAUGGUCCAAGAGUAACGUCUCGUCCUAUAGCUACUACUUUUUCAGAUGGCAUUUCCACUGUUCCACUGAAAAUGUUUUCUGGGCGAACAGCAUUGAAAUUCCGCUUGAGACUGACAAUAGCAAUAUUAUAGUUUAGACUAUAGAAUUCCAAUAUCCCACUACCACGUUGAUUCGGUGGGAGAAAAACCUCAAUCUGCAAAGAUAAAGUUACUAUCAAUCUUGUCUUUAUUAUGACUGAUCAAACUGGCUGAAGUCAGGAUGACAGGGCGCAAAGCUUUGCUUCCAUGCCAAUUUAUAAUCAAACCUGUGCAUGCAAAUGAUCUCACAUUACCAUUGAAUGAUGCAAGUGAGACAACACGACAAGAUAUGUCUGUCACAACUUCUUUCCGAAGAUGCUUCCAGACACGCUCCCUGCAACCAAUGGCCGGAUCAACGUAAGGGUACUCUCACGGAAGCAAUCUUCAAAUUGAUUAAGCAAUUCCCCAUUGACUGCAACGACUUACGUUCAAGCACAAGUGGUGGCGGCAUGGGAUAGCCAAAGGAUUUUAACCGGUAAAUAGUUUUCAUAAACCCUGAUGCAAUUAGGAGAUCAUUAUUAGUACUCAGAUCAUAUGUACGAUAACAUUAACAUAGUAAUGAACAUAGGUAGCAUUAUUAUUCACACCUGAAGGUACUAUGCUUUUUACACCUUUAGGCAACGAAUAUCCCCGGAAGUGGAGAUGUUUAGGACUGCAAACAAAGUAGACUUGUUAUAAAAAUAAACAAAAGUACAGGAACUAGCCCAACAGCAAAAACAGACAUACCAACACAUGAACCGAAUUGUAUGAAAGGAACCAAGGUAUGAAUAAAGGACUAGAAAAUCAGAAUAUUAAAUAUUCAAUAUAACACAUGAGAGGACUGAGAAUAUUCAAAUGUCACAAAUAUAAGUUGCACUAUCCAUAUUGCACUAUCCAGAUUACUCUUAUGCAGCUAGUAUCAAAAGAUUAUUGUGUGAAAACUCCCAAGGUCCUAAUGCUGUUAGUAUAAAAAAUGGCUUACCUUAUUAAAUGAGGAAGGGGAAUAAGAGAUAGGUUUGGAACAACUUAGAAUAAGCUAAGUGGGGAAGAAAAAAACUCAAAUACAGGAUGCGUAGAAGACAUACUCGAGUAUCCCAAAAUGCUUCAAGCGCUCAUGAAGUAAUUCCAUUGGUAGGAAAGCAUAUUUCACAGUCCGAUCAUCAUCAUCAUAAAUACUAAAGUUCAUCCCAAGAAAUAUUAGAAAACAGAUCAAAGCAUACCUUAGAGAUAUCUUGACUAUCAGGAACCCAGGUGUUGCCACUAUGAACAGACCCACUCAUGGCCAUUAAAUUGCCUGACUUGAAGGCACGCCCAGCAGCUAGAAGAGGACUACCAUCAGGACAGGCAGGUGUUCCAUUAAAAUCUAUAGGACUGACCUCUUCGAGACCCAAGCAUGUGACAAUAACAAUAUCAUGAUCAUAUAGUCCUAAGAACCCAUCAGUAGUUGUAUUAUCAGGAAGGCGCACUGCAACCUAUAGUGAUAAAAGCAGUACAUCAUCGUACAAUAGCCACAAUUCAUCUGGAUAAAUAAAGUGAAAUGGUGGACGUAGUAAAGCCCAAAUAAACAAGCAAAACGAAUGGCACAAUGAUUUGCAGCACCAACCGUCAAAUUAUCAUCCCUAUUUCUAUGCUCAUUAAAUGCUCUAGCCAAAUCAGCUGAUGUCACAAAACUUGUUAGUUCUUCUCUAGAUCUUCUGGAUGGUAGAGGUAUGCCCGAGAAUGCAAAUAACAUCUUAUCUCCUGGACAAGAUCACGAUUUAAAUAAUUAAGUGACA
rnacentral:sRNA from 1 species